AGAUCUGAGAGGAGCUCCAUCAUGGCUGCCACAGAGACUCGGAGAAGUGAGAAGAGCUAGGCAGCUUCCUCUUUAUCCAAAGGAUGCCCUUCUACUAGAAUUGGUCCGAUGUUUUCCUCAUGGUGAGACUGGAGUUAUGGGUUUUGAAGAGGAAGAUUACAGAGUUAAGAGAUAUUACUAGCAGAAAGGAGAUACUCUAGCAAGACCUAUUCUUAUGUUUCCAUUUUGCAGGAGGCCGAGAAGAAGGAAGUGAUUCCAGAAAGGUAUCACCAUUCCUCAGUUACGAAACCCAAGUGAGACCACAAUAUCCUGACUUCCAGUCUAGAGCUAUCUGUAAUGCAAUAAAUCUCUUCACAGGAGCAUAUACACUGGGAACGGGAACUCUCACAGGAGACACUGCUCCCAAGUUCUUCCUGUCAGUACCCCACUGAGGUGUUGCUGCUGCAUGUCGACUUCCUGCUCCAAUGCCAUCCUUCUUCAAAGCCCAGGACUUCCAUCCUUCCACAGCAGGAUUAAAAGUGAUCUGUCCAGAGCCCCAUCCUCCAA
rnacentral:lncRNA from 1 species